GACGUAGGUGGCGAACGUUAUCCGGAAUCAUUGGGCGUAAGGGUGCGUAGAUGGCAUAAUAAGUUAUUAGUGGGAAAUCGAGGCUCAACCUCGUGGAAGCUAGUAAUACUGUUUUGCUUGAGUGCAGAAGAGGUUAACGGAACUCCAUGUGGAGCGGUAAAAUGCGUAGAUAUAUGGAAGAACAUCAAUAACGGCGAAGGCAGUUAACUAUUCUGUUACUGACAUUGAGGCACGAAAGCGUGGGGAGCAAAACGG
rnacentral:rRNA from 1 species